rnacentral:rRNA from 1 species
CCUACGGGAGGCAGCAGUGGGGAAUAUUGGACAAUGGGGGGAACCCUGAUCCAGCGACGCCGCGUGAGUGAAGAAGUAUUUCGGUAUGUAAAGCUCUAUCAGCAGGGAAGAAAGAAAUGACGGUACCUGACUAAGAAGCCCCGGCUAACUACGUGCCAGCAGCCGCGGUAAUACGUAGGGGGCAAGCGUUAUCCGGAUUUACUGGGUGUAAAGGGAGCGUAGACGGCGAUGCAAGUCUGAAGUGAAAGGCGGGGGCCCAACCCCCGGACUGCUUUGGAAACUGUAGGGCUGGAGUGCAGGAGAGGUAAGUGGAAUUCCUAGUGUAGCGGUGAAAUGCGUAGAGAUUAGGAGGAACACCAGUGGCGAAGGCGGCUUACUGGACUGUAACUGACGUUGAGGCUCGAAAGCGUGGGGAGCAAACAGGAUUAGAUACCCGAGUAGUC